rnacentral:rRNA from 1 species
GAUGAACGCUGGCGGCGUGCUUAAUACAUGCAAGUCGAACGGAGAUUGUAGCAAUACGAUCUUAGUGGCGAACGGGUGAGUAACGCGUUGGUGACCUGCCCCAAAGAGAGGGAUAACAGUCCGAAAGGAUUGCUAAUACCUCAUGUUGUUACCGGGUUUAGAAGCCGGUAACUAAAGGAGUAAUUCACUUUGGGAGGGACCUGCGUCCCAUCAGCUAGUUGGUGAGGUAAUGGCCCACCAAGGCGAUGACGGGUAGGGGACCUGAGAGGGUGGCCCCCCA